rnacentral:rRNA from 1 species
UAUCUGUCGUGGGCGUUGGAUAUUUGAGAAGGGCUGACCUUAGUACGAGAGGACCGGGUCGGACGCACCUCCGGUGCACCAGUUGUCCUGCCAAGGGCAUAGCUGGGUAGCCGCGUGCGGUUUUGAUAAACGCUGAAGGCAUCUAAGCGUGAAACAUACUUCAAGAUGAGAUAUCCUCCCAACUUGAUUGGGUAAGGUCACUUGCAGACUACAAGUUUGAUAGGUCGGAGGUGUAAGCACGGUAACGUGUUCAGCUGACCGAUACUAAUAGACCGAGUGCUUGAACUG